rnacentral:rRNA from 1 species
AUUGAACGCUGGCGGCAGGCCUAACACAUGCAAGUCGAACGAGUGGCGGACGGGUGAGUAAUGUCUGGGAAACUGCCUGAUGGAGGGAGAUAACGACUGGAAACGGUAGCUAAUACCGCAUACCAUCAGAUGUGCCCAUGUGGGAUUAGCCUGUUGGUGGGGUAACGGGUCACAAAGGCGACGAUCCCUAGCUGGUCUGAGAGGAUGACCAGCCACACGGGAACUGAGACACGGCCCAGACUCCUACGGGAGGCAGCAGUUGGGAAUAUUGCACAAUGGGCGAAAGCCUGAUGGAGCCAUGCCGCGUGUAUGAAGAAGGCCUUCGGGUUGUAAAGUACUGUCAGCGGGGAGGCGUUACCCGCAGAGGAAGCACCGGCUAACUCCGUGCCAGCCGCCGCGGUAAUAC